CGCGCCAUUUGUACUCGACGUAGUGCUUCAUCAGGACCAGCGCGGCCUUCAUCUUCUUGUACUUCUGACGACACAGGUACCCUCGCCAUUGCUUUUGCAAGAGGACCACGAUGCCCGGUAUCAAUUCGCUGCGAGCCUGCGAGUGCAAUGACCGAUGAUCGCGAACAGGGUUUGCGGCGAGCGAAUGAAGAUCUUCGUGUGGCCGUACAUGACGUCGUUCGAGAAACCUUUCUCGUCCAUCAGCGUGCGCACCCCGUCCUUAUCGUUGCCGCCUCGGAAGUUUGGCCAUGUGUACUGCGAUAUCAUCUUGUACCUGACGAGAUCAAAUACUUCACUUCGUGAACAUUCAAACGAAAUUGACUUGGCGUCGUGAAGAAAAAAGGAGGAAACUUUUAAGAAGGCUUGACGAGCUGUUCACCUUUUCAAAAAUCUGUCGUAUCGUUGUCUGUACACGAAGCCAGCGCGUCUCACCAGUAUGUUCUCCACGAGACCCAGAUACAAACGGUAACAAAUCGCACGAGAUCACACGAGAACACUUUGAAAGGAACGAAGAAAGUUCCUUUGAUUGCUACCUUCGCCAACGCAUCUCUGCCGUAUUCAGCUUCAAUCAACGUGUGGGUCUUCUGCAUGACCUCGCCGCCGGCAGCUAUGACUCUUUGCGAGAGGGCGGUGCUCAGGUCCUUCGAGCUGAUGGAGAAUAAAUUGGCGGUGUCGUUCAAGGCUGAAUGAUUUUGAAUGACAAGCUUGUCGUCGUCCAGUCUAAAGGUGACAUUGCCCUGAGGAGAGUAAGAGAGAAGCAGUUAUCGAGUGAAAAAUCAAUAACAAUUCUUGAGAAGACAGAAAUGAGCGAACGAGUUCUUCAACGUCAUGCGGGUGCAAGAUACCGGCGAUGAUGUUCCAUACGGUCUGCGCCUCACUCGGCGAGAAUCCGAGCAUGGACAUGGCGCUGUUCACGGUUUUGUAGUCGCUCCUGUCGGAGGUGGGCGCUUUAUUAUUGUUUCCGUUGCCGAUGAAGUAGUAGGCCGCCGGAUCCCGG